GUGUCAUGUGACAGGCCUUUUGGCUAAGAUCAAGUGUAGUAUCUUUUCUUAUCAGUUUAAUAUCUGAUACGUCCCCUAUCUGGGGACCAUAUAUUAAAUGGAUUUUUCGAACAGGGAGAUGGAAAAAGAGCUUGCUCUGUCCACUCCACGCAUUGACCUGGUAUUGCAGUACCUCCAGGACCGGUGCACCAAAA